CCUACGGGUGGCAGCAGUAGGGAAUAUUGCACAAUGGGGGAAACCCUGAUGCAGCAACGCCGCGUGAGUGAAGAAGGCCCUUGGGUUGUAAAGCUCUUUAGCGCGGGAAGAAGGUCAGUACGGUAAACAAUCGUAUUGGCUGACGGUACCGCGAGAAUAAGCACCGGCUAAUUUCGUGCCAGCAGCCGCGGUAAUACGAAAGGUGCAAGCGUUACUCGGAAUCACUGGGCGUAAAGCGCACGUAGGCGGACUCGUAGGUCAAUUGUGAAAUACCUGGGCUCAACCCGGGAACUGCAGUUGAAACCGCUUGUCUUGAAUACCUGAGAGGGUGGGGGAAUACCUGGUGGAGAAGUGAAAUUCGUAGAGAUCAGGUGGAACACCGGAGGCGAAGGCGCCUGCCUGGCAGUGUAUUGACGCUGAGGUGCGAAAGUGCGGGGAGCAAACAGGAUUAGAUACCCUAGUAGUC
rnacentral:rRNA from 1 species